UACGUAGGGCGCAAGCGUUUGUCCGGAAUUAUUGGGCGUAAAGAGCUCGUAGGCGGCUUGUCACGUCGGGUGUGAAAGCCCGGGGCUUAACCCCGGGUCUGCAUUCGAUACGGGCAGGCUAGAGUGUGGUAGGGGAGAUCGGAAUUCCUGGUGUAGCGGUGAAAUGCGCAGAUAUCAGGAAGAACACCCGUGGCGAAAGCGGCUCUCUGGAACGGUACUGACGCUGAGACGCGAAAGCGUGGGGAGCGAACAGG
rnacentral:rRNA from 1 species